rnacentral:misc_RNA from 1 species
GAUGAAGAACGCAGCGAAAUGCGAUACGUAAUGUGAAUUGCAGAAUUCAGUGAGUCAUCGAGUCUUUGAACGCACAUUGCGCCCUCUGGUAUUCCGGAGGGCAUGCCUGUCCGAGCGUCAUUGCUGCCCUCAAGCACGGCUUGUGUGUUGGGCUCCGUCCCCCGAUCCCGGGGGACGGGCCCGAAAGGCAGCGGCGGCACCGCGUCCGGUCCUCGAGCGUAUGGGGCUUUGUCACCCGCUCUGUAGGCCCGGCCGGCGCUUGCCGAUCAACCAAAUUUUUAACCAGGUUGACCUCGGAUCAGGUAGGGAUACCCGCUGAACUUAAGCAUAUCAAUAAGCGGAGGA